ACCUGGUUGAUCCUGCC
rnacentral:rRNA from 104 species